rnacentral:rRNA from 1 species
GGACCCGCACAAGCGGUGGAGUAUGUGGUUUAAUUCGAUGCAACACGAAGAACCUUACCAGGGUUUGAAAUCAUUUCAAAACUCCUUGAAAGAGGAGCCUCCUUCGGGAUGAAAUGACAGGUGGUGCAUGGCUGUCGUCAGCUCGUGUUGUGAAAUGUCGAGUUAAGUCCCGUAACGAGCGCAACCCUUGUCCUUAGUUGCCAGCACGUAAUGGUGGGAACUCUAAGGAGACUGCCGGUGACAAACCGGAGGAAGGUGGGGACGACGUCAAGUCAUCAUGGCCCUUAUGGGCUGGGCUACACACGUGCUACAAUGGUCGGUACAGAGGGCCGCAAUCCCGCGAGGGGAGCCAAUCCCACAAAGCCGAUCUUAGUCCGGAUCGCAGUCUGCAACUCGACUGCGUGAAGUUGGAAUCGCUAGUAA